CGAGCACGCGCGUGUGGCAUAUCAAUAAGCGGAGGAAAAGAAACUAACAAGGAUUCCCUUAGUAACGGCGAGUGAAGCGGGAAGAGCUCAGAUUUGAAAUCUUCAAGGUUCUACCUUGACGAAUUGUAGUUUAUAGAAGUGUUUUCUGUUAGUGGAGUUUGGUAAAAGUUCUUUGGAAUAGGACAUCAUAGAGGGUGAGAAUCCCGUAUUUGGUCAUUCCUCCUAGCGUUGUGAUACACUUUCAACGAGUCGGAUUGUUUGGGAAUGCAGUCCAAAAUGGGUGGUAAAUUUCAUCUAAAGCUAAAUAUUGGCGAGAGACCGAUAGCGAACAAGUACCGUGAGGGAAAGAUGAAAAGAACUUUGAAAAGAGAGUUAAACAGUACGUGAAAUUGUCAAAAGGGAAGCGUUUGACACCAGUGUUGUUUUUCCGAAAAUCAAUUACGAAUGUUUUGUUUUUGAGGAAGUUAUGACUUCAUCGGCUUGCUUCUCUCUUUACGAAACUUUCUUAAUGCACUUUUCGGUUAACAAGUCAACAUCAAUUUCUUUUGUUGUAGAAAGGGUAUGAGGAAGGUGGCUUUCUUUUCGGAGAAAGUGUUUAUAGCCUUGUAGCCUCUGCAAUCGGAGAGAUUGAGGUCUGCAGCGUAGAUCCUUCGGGGUUAGAUACGUUUGUGCUGAGUUAUAGCUUUUCAUAGACAACUUGUUGACUAUGUUUAGUCUUGUAGCUUACUCGCUUAUGCUAUUUUACCUACGCUUAGGAUGUUGAUGUGAUACUGCGAGCA
rnacentral:rRNA from 1 species